rnacentral:rRNA from 1 species
GAUGAACGCUGGCGGCGUGCCUAAUACAUGCAAGUCGAGCGAACAGACGAGGAGCUUGCUCCUCUGACGUUAGCGGCGGACGGGUGAGUAACACGUGGAUAACCUACCUAUAAGACUGGGAUAACUUCGGGAAACCGGAGCUAAUACCGGAUAAUAUAUUGAACCGCAUGGUUCAAUAGUGAAAGACGGUUUUGCUGUCACUUAUAGAUGGAUCCGCGCCGCAUUAGCUAGUUGGUAAGGUAACGGCUUACCAAGGCAACGAUGCGUAGCCGACCUGAGAGGGUGAUCGGCCACACUGGAACUGAGACACGGUCCAGACUCCUACGGGAGGCAGCAGUAGGGAAUCUUCCGCAACGGGCGAAAGCCUGACGGAGCAACGCCGCGUGAGUGAUGAAGGUCUUCGGAUCGUAAAACUCUGUUAUUAGGGAAGAACAAAUGUGUAAGUAACUGUGCACGUCUUGACGGUACCUAAUCAGAAAGCCACGGCUAACUACGUG